UGUUCGGGUUGUCAUGCCAAUGGCACUGCCCGGUAGCUAAAUGCGGAAGAGAUAAGUGCUGAAAGCAUCUAAGCACGAAACUUGCCCCGAGAUGAGUUCUCCCUGACCCUUUAAGGGUCCUGAAGGAACGUUGAAGACGACGACGUUGAUAGGCCGGGUGUGUAAGCGCAGCGAUGCGUUGAGCUAACCGGUACUAAUGAACCGUGAGGCUUAACCUUACAACGCCGAAG
rnacentral:rRNA from 1 species